UUUUUGCCUAUGAUGGUUUAUAAAUAUACUUUGAGUUUACGCUAUGAAAAGAAUUUAAUCUGAGGCAAUUU